rnacentral:lncRNA from 1 species
GGCAGUUUUCGAAAAAAAAGGGAAAAAAACACGAAAAAUAAAAAAGGAAAAAACUUCCGUGCAAAAACUGAAACCCAUUAUCUUGCGAACUGAAACCCCAUUAUCUUGCCAUGCCGAUAGAAUUAAAACCCACUACGGGAUCCUGUUUUCUGGAAUCUGGAUCCGUCUCUCACUAACUCUCUCUCUCUCCCUCCUCCGCAGCCACCUCUCUUUCUCCCUCCUCCGCGGCCACCGCCAGCCGAACCUCCUGUCACUAGCUCCUCCCAUCUAACUAUCUAUCCUCUCCAAACCACCACCGAUUUAAUCCCGAG